UUUAAGAAGUUCAAUGGCAUAUAUGGUUCUCCUUCCCUACUACAACCCUCUACGGUUGAAGAUGAAAAGUUGACCCAAGGUCAUUCAGAGAGUUUCAUGGCUAAGUGAAGAUUUGUAUGAAGAUUUUCACAAUAGUUGCCCUGACACCAAUAUCCACAAUGUCACGUGUAUUAUGUAGCAACAUUCCAGCAAAUUACAAUAGUUCUACGGAUGUAUUUGCUUGCUGCAAAGGAAAUACAUGAUUCUCACUUGCUCCAGAGGGCAAUAACAGAACUAGUGGAUGAAACUUCAAAGAUGUGGAUACAGAUUAGAUUUAAGAAGAAACUCUUGACAGCAGGAGCUGUCAAUCAGUGGACUAAAUUACCGCAUGGAAUGGUUCCUUCUUUUUCACGGAAGUUUUCAAACUAAGGUUGGCUAGUCUUCUAUCAGGGAUGGUGUAGUGACUCCUGUGGCAUGAAGGGAAUUGAUGAUCUCGUAGGUCCUUUGAACUCCAGGUUUUAUGAGCUUAAAUGACUUUCUUUGCCAUAUAAAGGAGAAUGUAUAUUGCCUGGACUCUGGAGAAUCUCCAAGGGCUUCCUUUGGCUGGAGGAGGAAAUGUGGUAUUCUUG